ACAGAGGGGGCAAGCGUUGUUCGGAAUUACUGGGCGUAAAGGGCGCGUAGGCGGCCUGCUAAGUCGAUCGUGAAAUCCCCGGGCUCAACCCGGGAACUGCGACCGAUACUGGUUGGCUUGAAUCCGGGAGAGGGAUGCGGAAUUCCAGGUGUAGCGGUGAAAUGCGUAGAUAUCUGGAGGAACACCGGUGGCGAAGGCGGAUCUCUGGGCCUUACCUGACGCUCAGGCACGAAAGCUAGGGGAGCGAACAGGA
rnacentral:rRNA from 1 species